GCAGUCGUACGCGGGGCUCUCCUUCGGGAGGGCUGCCGAGUGGCGAACGGGUGCGUAACGCGUAGGUAACCUGCCCUCGAGUGGGGGAUAACCCCGGGAAACCGGGGCUAAUACCGCAUAUUGUCUUAGCAUCGCAUGAUGCUAAGAUGAAAGCCUUUGGGCGCUCGAGGAGGGGCCUGCGUCGGAUUAGCUAGUUGGUGGGGUAAUGGCCCACCAAGGCGACGAUCCGUAGCUGGUCUGAGAGGACGGCCAGCCACACUGGCACUGAGACACGGGCCAGACUCCUACGGGAGGCAGCAGUGGGGAAUCUUGGGCAAUGGGCGAAAGCCUGACCCAGCCACGCCGCGUGGAGGAUGAAGCCCCUCGGGGUGUAAACUCCUUUUCUGGGGGAAGAAAUCCCGGCUGUUGUCGGGACUGACGGUACCCCAGGAAUAAGCGCCGGCUAACUCCGUGCCAGCAGCCGCGGUAAUACGGAGGGCGCAAGCGUUGCCCGGAAUCACUGGGUGUAAAGGGUGCGUAGGCGGGGCUGUAAGUCAGGGGUGAAAUCCUUCGGCUCAACCGAAGAAUUGCCCCUGAUACUGCAGCUCUUGAGUCCCGGAGAGGCCGCUGGAAUUCGUGGUGUAGCGGUGAAAUGCGUAGAUAU
rnacentral:rRNA from 1 species